UGAUACCAGUGAACCCUAAAAAUGAGGUUGAAAAACACUUGGAAACAGUGAUGCAUCCAUGUUCAAUUCCUGACUUCAGCUUUUCCUUCCCUGCCUUGUCACACUCCUAACUCAUGGAACAAAACAAACACAAUCAGCUUUGACCAACAAAGCCGUGUGUUGAGACUGUGCCGAGAAAUCCAGUGAAGUGUCUGCAACGGCAACGAGAUCAGAGCAGAGGAGAGGAGGCUGUGGAUAUUUGUGCAACUGUGUGUGGUUCAGCCUUCCUGUGCCUGCGUGUGUGUGUGAGAGAGGGAGAGACUUGGGAGCAUUUCCAGCCUACAGCAGUGGAGUCUGAGCAAAAGCACAAGUUCAUCCUCUUCCAUUGGACCCACGGCAAACUGGACGAUACAGCAUCGAUACGAGAGGUCUUCAUGGAGGAACAAUCUUCAGCUUCCUGCUCGCAGAGAUCUGGUCAGACUUGUCCAGCUUCACAAAGACCCCAGACUGCUAAAAAGAAAAAGGUUGAUUUUCAUGAAGAUCUUCAAACAGUAGGUGUCAUGUAUUUUAAUUCUUGGUGUAUCCAAAUUGGUGUAUCUUUCUCUUCUCCUUUCCAUUUGUCAAAUAACUGAGGGUUGUACAUAGAACAUCAGCCACAGUUUGUGUUCUGCUUGUUACUGGUUGAACUUACAGUGUCCACUUUUUUGGGUGGUCUCAAUAUGCAAGAUGUUAAUCUGGUCCAUAUUUUUAAUUUUUGGGGGGCUACCGUGUUGGCCUCAUUAGGUGCAGAGUAGGGGAAUAUACAACCUACAACAUCUGGUGUCUUGAUUGUGAAGGUCAUCUUAAGUACUUGGUUGUUGGCAGCUGAUUUGCUAAUCCAGUUGCCCAUAGCUAACUACUGAAGAUUAAAUGUCUGCAUAUAAAAGUAAAGUAAAUCAACACAAACCAGUUCCAUGAAAAGGUCACUCACUGACAAACAAUGUCCUCUUCCUGGUGGCUUAAAGUAGUUUCAGGAACCAAAAAGGUUGUAAAUCUUUAAAUGGCAAGUGCCUUCUCUAUGGGCACAAUUUAGGCAGCUUGUGAAGUCAUUAGGAUGAUGCUUAAUCCUAAUGUCUUGGUUGGUUCCAUGAGAAAUGGCAAUCUCCCAGGUGUGUUGGUAAACUUCCUUCUGAUUUUGUAGCCUUGCCCUAAAGUUUCUGUACUUUAACUCUUGUUGAGCUAAGCAUUAAAUGAUUCCUCCAACUUGUCUCCAGAACUAAUUUUCUCUCCAUGCAGCCUUCCAACACCAACUGCUGCUGUUGUCACAUCACAGGUAGCUUUACCGUGAUUCACUGCAUCAUCAUGUGUUGGGUAAUUUGUGUCAUUAGACUACUGACAAAGCUGAAGCCUUAAAAUGCUUGAUCUAAUUUACCCAAAUGGUUUAUCAGUUUACUCAACAAAAUCUUUGCAUUACACAUUCUCGGGGUCAGUAACCUGACAUCUAAACCUUUGGGUCAUGCAAAAGAUCGCAAGCUCUUUGCAUGACCCAACAGAAUCAGUAUUUGAGCCACUUUAUUGCUCAAUUUGUAAAUCAAUGUGGAUUUAAUGAGCUCGUUCUCCUUCACACGUUAGAAGGUAAAUUGAGUCGACUCGUAAGAUGGUGAGGCCUUUUGUCCUUCCCCUUCUCUCUGUGAGGAAAUCUGGCCACAAAUCCUGACUGAGUGGCAUACCAUAACUGUGCAGUUUCCAAAAUCAGACAAGGAUCCAUCUGGUUUUGUGACUCAGCCUAUCAUGGUAUGCAUUUAUGUUCCUCCAACCAUUGGAACAUGUUAUGUAAGUCACUUGUAGACAAAUUGAAGCAUUUGGUCAAAUUGUGUUCAAGCAUUUUCUGGUGUCUGCUCUGUCAAUAGUCUUGUGCAUCAUCUGGCUAAACGCAUAAGAAGCUCUGAAUUGUGAAACUGUUGCCUCUUGCUGACGUUACGACGACAGCAAUGGUGUUGGAAGGCUGCAGGGUGAGUAAAUGAGAUCCGAUGACAGGAAAGCGUAAUUGAUUUCAUGCUUUGCAAAAUGAAAGUGUAAGCAAAUAAACUUUGUGGUGAAGUGACAGAAUUGGGAGAAUUUGUCUGGGCAACUGAGAGACUUGCAGUUUUUCAUGAAGCCAACAAAGACAUUGGGGUUAGUGUCAUCCCUAAUGGCUAGCAAGCUAAAGUAAAAUGAGUGGACAUCUGCUUUUACAAAAGACAUCUACAGGACAUGAAGCUUGGUGUUCUGAUAUUGAAUUGUGGUUGAAGGCAGGCGUAGCUUAGCAAACUGCCAGUGUAGAACAGGAAAGGCAGGUGAAGAUUGGGGAGGGCAUCCAUCCGUGGGCCUUGACUGGAUGUGAGAAGACCAUCACAUUUGACCAGGUGAGUUGUCUCGGCAUUUUUGUCAUUUGUUUUAGCUUUUAUCUUAUGACUUACCAAAUUCUACCUUGUUUUGAGGAGCUGAAGGCUGCAGCAGAUUCCUGCAUCAGAGGACUCCAUGUUGGACACCAUAACCUGGAGAAGUCUUGUCCUCACUGUGGUGAGUACCUUGUUCAAGGUGAACCAACGCUUCUGAUGCUUCUUUGCCACAGAUGUUGGACCUUAAGGACCAGAGCCUACCAAGCUGUACAUCACUCAAUCACACAAUCUGACUCGUGCAUCAAAGGUUUUGUUCCAAAGUGCUGUAAAACAAAUUAUAGUACUGUAUUUGAGUACAAUGAACUAGAGAAGGUAUCACCAACGUAACUGGAAUUUGAUGUUAAAGCUGACUUGUCUCGCUCUGCCAAGUUUAGUUCUCGACUUGAACCUUUGUGUUCAUAAAGCCUUUUUGCGCGUCAUGUUGGGAGGCCUCCCAGCAGGGGAUUUCCAUUAUCCCCUGCAAAACCAUGCGUUCAUGUCUUGUGUGAUAUCGUAUAGGAUAGAGUUUCAUACUUGGGAUUGGUUGUGGGAUUAGUGCGUUUCAGUUCUUUAGGAGAAAACAAACGUGGCAGAGAGACAACUCGGGUUAUUUAACCGAAAGUUACACCAAAUUUGACACCCAACAGGACAUGGUCACAUGUUUUGUUUUUUUAAAUAGACUUUGCCACCUAAAGCCAGAUAAUAUAGACUGUGCUUUCUGUAAUGACAUUGUAGAUUUGUACUGUAUUUAUUGCCCUCUUUAUAUCGAGUAAAACAUAUUUCUCUUAACUGGCUUUGACUGGUAUAUUUUCCAAAGUUUUUUUUCUUAAAGAUGUGGAAUUCUUUAUCAACAAAUUUCAUAACAUGUUACUGUAGACUGUGUACUUUGACACUGCCUCAAGUGUCAGCUUUAUCUCAAACAAUGUACACCAUUUGUCAUUUAUAGUUGAAGUAAAACUUCAAAUGGACAGGACUUAAAAUGUUCCCUUUUUUUAAAAAAAGGGAGAACUAGGUCGAUUAUUUUUAUUUGGUAUUUAUUUUAACAGUAGAAUGCCAAACCUUCAGCUAAGGCAGAUUACUAAAGCAUUUCUAAAUUAACCACAAUACCGAGAUAGUUUCAGUCCCUGGCUUCUCCUGUUUUGAAUCCCCCAUUGUCACUUGUGUGAACUAACAACUUCAACAAUAUCACUUUGCAUAGUGUGGGUUGCACAGCAACUCAACAACUCAAAUAUUGACAGUUUGACAAAUAGUGAAAGGAAUAAUUUAAUGAUCUGUGUCAGUGUUGGUUUGUAUUUUCACACCUGUAUCUGACGCCAAUUGUUUGCAAUCCUUGACGCAAAAACAUUUUAUUCCAAUUACUGAUUCAUUUUUUUUUUUAUUUGUUUGCAACUCAGUUUUUCAAAACUA